CUCUCUGAGUACUCCACUCUGUGCCUCUCCCACUUGCUGAGAAAAAUCACUUAGAGACUCAAUGGUGAUUCCAUUUCUAUUAACCAAGGUGCAGUUUCAACAUUUUCCUCUAGGCAAAGUUGAAGGGUUGGAGGCAGUGGGACGUGGGAAGAAAGAGAAUAUUCACAGAGAGAAAGUCCUCUGAAAAGCAGUUGAUUUCUCUGAAGGAAAUGGCUCAAAGAUGUUGAUGCGAACUUGUUGUAAGAUUUCCAUUCACUGAAGAGGAAGUCCGUGAUCCUCACUCCCAAGAGGGAUCCAGGGAUCUAGAGACUCCUAAGACCCUCCAAUAUUUAGCGAUGAUGUCAGACCAGUGAUUUUCUUGAGCUCACAGCACAAACUGUUAUUAAUGUUUCCUGCCCAUGUACCUCCUCCCACAAUGUGCCAACACACACAGUUCAUCAUCUGAUGAUGAUGGACAUGCUGCAGAUUGAAAGUUCAGAUUCUGUAGGUGUCCUUAGACUUGGUUAGCGUGAGAAUGUCCCCUUGAAAACAAUCUCCAAAUAAAUGAAAAAUGCUGGUGACUUCCAGGCAAGUUAGAAAAUGAGUUCAUUUAGGUUUUCAAUGACCAUCCUCUCUUCCUCAAAUACAUUCAUUCUCAUCCACAUGGGCUAGUCUCAUGAAGACAGAACCAGGUCAAAAUAGUCUCUCAGGGGUUAUUUAGGACAUAACACUACACAGUGUUGUUAGAAUGGUUAGAAUCAGACAUUUUCCAAGUUAAGGUUAGGGAAGACAGAGA
rnacentral:lncRNA from 1 species